GCGAGAGUGGCGGAAUUUGGCAGACGCGCUGGACUUAGGAUCCAGUGGGUUAACCAUGCGGGUUCGAGUCCCGCCUCUCGCA
rnacentral:tRNA from 1 species